rnacentral:rRNA from 1 species
GAUGAACGCUGGCGGCGUGCCUAAUACAUGCAAGUCGAGCGAACGGACGAGAAGCUUGCUUCUCUGAUGUUAGCGGCGGACGGGUGAGUAACACGUGGAUAACCUACCUAUAAGACUGGGAUAACUUCGGGAAACCGGAGCUAAUACCGGAUAAUAUUUUGAACCGCAUGGUUCAAAAGUGAAAGACGGUCUUGCUGUCACUUAUAGAUGGAUCCGCGCUGCAUUAGCUAGUUGGUAAGGUAACGGCUUACCAAGGCAACGAUGCAUAGCCGACCUGAGAGGGUGAUCGGCCACACUGGAGCUGAGACACGAUCCAGACUCCUACGGGAGGCAGCAGUAGGGAAUCUUCCGCAAUGGGCGAAAGCCUGACGGAGCAACGCCGCGUGAGUGAUGAAGGUCUUCGGAUUGUAAAACUCUGUUAUUAGGGAAGAACAUAUGUGUAAGUAACUGUGCACAUCUUGACGGUACCUAAUCAGAAAGCCACGGCUAACUACGU